AUNUGUCUGCUUAAUUGCGAUAACGAACGAGACCCCCUUUUACUNAAAUAGNAAAAUACAUAACAUAAAUGUUGAAAGCGGGGACCNCGAAAGUAGUUUACUACCUAGUGCAACCGUCGGAAACUGUGGAUAAUGUAUUGAGCUUCUUAGAAAGAAUAAAGCUAAAACUUAAACAUAUAUAUUACUCGGGGCAAUAACAGGUCAGUGAUGCCCUUAGAUGUUCUGGGCCGCACGCGCGCUACAAUGACAAAAUGGAAAAGGUUACUAGAUUUAACGGUUUCGGUUAAUCCAGUAAUCUUUCCCAUAACCGGGAUUGGUGGUUGCAAUUAUCCGCCAUGAACGAGGAAUUUCUAGUAGGUAUGGUUCACUAAACCAUGCCGAUUACGUCCCUGCCCUUUGUACACACCGCCCGUCGCUUCUACCGAUUGAAUGGUUCGGUGAAAUCCUCGGACUAGAAUUCAUAUUAGGGCAACCUGAUCUGUAUUUUAGGAUGAGGAGUAAAUUGAAACAUUUAGAGGAAGAAGAAGUCGUAACAAGGUCUCCGUAGGUGAACCUGCGGAGGGAUCAUUUUC
rnacentral:rRNA from 1 species